UGACACAGUGCCCUUACAGCGUGUUGCUGUUACAUAUAUUGAACCCGACGAAUUUUGGCACCGUUCUCUUUAAAAGACGCGCAGUCUACGUGAACAGAUAACGAUAUUAGGGACGCUGCGUGUGGUAGAAGACGUAAAAUGGCAUCUCUGUCACGCACCCGACAAAUGGUAAUCACUAUCUUCGUGCAAGGGGGCGGCGUCUUCUUGCGGGUGCAGCGGACGCAGGUCUGUCACUUUAGAAGCAUAGUGCAACAGAAAAGUGCGGGGGUCCUUUAAAAAACGUGAGAGCACGUCAAAACGCGCUCAGACGCAGAAGAAGACCUUAUCCUGUUUGGAUGUUGAAUGCGUCACUGGCAGACGACGUAAGACUGUGUAAUGUUAUAAGUUGUGAUUCAGUUGUCUGCGUCCAAUGGAGAUCCAUCAACAAGCUUCCUUUCCGCUAGUUAAGUAUGACUAACGCAUGUUGAUUAGCUAGUGGGCUGGCUAAUUAUCCGCAUUACCUUAUUGCUGGGAUUCCAACUCUCAAAGCAAUUACUUGGAAAGUGACCGCGUAUCUGAUAACAAUUGUCCUGCAAUUGUUUCCUAGAGACGGAACAAGGUUUGUCGUCAGCAACAAAGUGAGCAAGAACUCUAUGCGUGCGGCAAAAUUCAAUAUUACUGUUUGGUCGCAACUUGAAGAAAACCGAGGCAACAAGUAGGUGAGAAUUAUUCCGACAACCUGGGAAGGCAUUACUGUGCCAUUGUUUUUCUCGCUGCUGGACACUGUGCAACUAGCAAGUUUAGGCGGCUUAGUGUAAUUUGCUGCAUAAGGAAAUUUCGGAUAGACGGAGACGAUUCAGUGAAAGAUCUCAUAAGACCGGAGACAUGAACCGGGACAAUAAUCCUCGACAGAAACUGAUCAGCUCUGAGGCAGCUUCCAGUGGCGGUGACUAUCUAUUUUGGUGAUCCUCACAUCAAUUAAAAGAAGUCAACCGUGGUGGUAGCACAUACAAGACUGUAAGGCCGCGUCCUUGAUGUUUCAGCCGCUGGCUCCAUGGUGUUGCCGUGAACUACUGUCACUGUUCCUGACUGCCGUCACCUUUAACACCACUUUCACCUCGAGUCACGAUAGCUGGUUUCUUUAAUCAAUUUGUCUCGGUAUAUUAUUACGAAUGUGUGAGUGGGGAGACUUAAUAAAUUUCAGCUGAAGGAACAGCACACGCUAUGGUUGUCUCCGAACUUGAAGUGAUCACACACCUGCUCAGCGGCCCUAGAACGUGACGGGAGAUGGUCAUUCGUGUCACAUAAUGAACGCUGAAUGAGGACAGAAUGAAAGCUGGUAUAACUUCAUAACGAAGAGGGGAAGGGGACCUCCUUUUAAAAGUCAGUCAAGUCACAUCUAAUACACGUGUUCGUCCGAUGUCGAGGCUGGCGUGAGGAGGGCAUCCACUUGGAGAGAACCCAGAAAGCCGGAUACAAGUUGUGGCAUGUAACAAGUGGAUAAAGCGGCGUCAGCAGUUAAUAGG